GAUGAACGCUGGCGGCGUGCCUAAUACAUGCAAGUCGAGCGAAUGGAUUAAGAGCUUGCUCUUAUGAAGUUAGCGGCGGACGGGUGAGUAACACGUGGGUAACCUGCCCAUAAGACUGGGAUAACUCCGGGAAACCGGGUCUAAUACCGGAUAACAUUUUGAACCGCAUGGUUCGAAAUUGAAAGGCGGCUUCGGCUGUCACUUAUGGAUGGACCCGCGUCGCAUUACCGAGUUGGUGAGGUAACGGCUCACCAAGGCAACGAUGCGUAGCCGACCUGAGAGGGUGAUCGGCCACACUGGGACUGAGACACGGCCCAGACUCCUACGGGAGGCAGCAGUAGGGAAUCUUCCGCAAUGGACGAAAGUCUGGCGGAGCAACGCCGCGUGAGUGAUGAAGGCUUUCGGGUCGUAAAACUCUGUUGUUAGGGAAGAACAAGUGCUAGUUGAAUAAGCUGGCACCUUGACGGUACCUAACCAGAAAGCCACGGCUAACUACGUGCCAGCCGCCGCUGUAA
rnacentral:rRNA from 1 species